rnacentral:rRNA from 1 species
GAAUCUUGCGCAAUGGGCGAAAGCCUGACGCAGCAACGCCGCGUGUGUGAUGAAGGCCCUCGGGUCGUAAAGCACUGUUGGGAGAGAAGAAGAUCUGACGGUAUCUCCUGAGGAAGCACCGGCUAACUCCGUGCCAGCAGCCGCGGUAAUACGGAGGGUGCAAACGUUGCUCGGAAUCAUUGGGCGUAAAGCGCGCGUAGGCGGUCGCAUAAGUCCGGCGUGAAAGCCCAGGGCUCAACCCUGGAAUGCCGCUGGAAACUGUACGACUUGAGGGCGAGAGGGGCUUGUGGAAUUUCUGGUGUAGGGGUGAAAUCCGUAGAGAUCAGAAGGAACACCGGUGGCGAAGGCGACAAGCUGGAUCGCACCUGACGCUGAGGCGCGAAAGCGUGGGGAGCAAACAGG